GACAUAGGUGGCGAACGUUAUCCGGUUUUAUUGGGCGUAAAGGGUGCGUAGAUGGUGAAAUAAGUUAGCAGUGGGAAAUCGGGGCUCAACCUCGUGGAAGCUGGUAAUACUGUUUCGCUAGAGGAUAGAAGAGGUUGACGGAACUCUGUGUGUAGGGGUAAAAUCCGAAGAUAUACAGAAGAACACCAAAGGCGAAGGCAGUUAACUAUUCUAUUCCUGACAUUGAGGCACGAAAGCGUGGGGAGCAAAACGGAUUAGAUAC
rnacentral:rRNA from 1 species